GGGGGUGUAGCUCAGUUGGUAGAGCACCUGGUUUGCAACCAGGCGGUCAUCGGUUCGAAUCCGUUCACCUCCA
rnacentral:tRNA from 1 species